CGCAAAAGAAUGUCAAUCUUGUUUGUUAUUUUUUAUUAUAAAGCUACUAUUUUUAUUUUACGUUUAUUUAUCACUGUUAUUUUAUUAAGUUUUUAAUAAUAAACAGUGAUAAUAAAAAUGAAAAAAAAAAAUAGUGAAAAAAAGUGAGCCACUACAGCAGAUUCUCUUAAUGCUCUUAGUGGUACAAAAAAGACAUGGAAAGGUUCGCGUAAAACAUGGCAAGAUCAAAAAGUAAUAUAAAAAAAAAAUUGCACUUGCCAGAUGGCAGGCAAAUAUGACUGGAGGAGGCCCACCACCAAAGCCGCCUACCGACGAGGAUCUUUUAAGGAGUAUGCCAUUGACGCCAAGAGUCCAUCGUCGGGAUACCGUCAUUUAUUGAUGUCAAUGAUACACUAGAAAUGGAAUCUACACAAAGUCUACCAGCAGAUGUUAAACCUAUAUCACCAGAUUGUGGUAGAACUUUUAGCUGAACCUAUGAAUGAUACUGCAGUACAAACAUCUCCAAUACAAUGUAAAGGUAGAAUAAAGUAACAACAUGAGGUACAAUUUUAUAUGAAGACCAAUUUUGUGAGAGACUGAUGCUUGCGGUAGGUUUAGAGGAACCUGUGUUACAAGUCACCAGUGCCCCAUCUCCAUGGACUACACAAAUACAAGGCAACCAAUUAGUGUUAUAAUACACAGAUAAUAAUAAUAAGAUAUAAAGUGUAAGAAUAAACUUAACAUUAAGACUUAUUUCUGGUAUAUAACUUAGGCAAAGUUAACAAAAAAAAACAAAAUACAGACUAUGUGUGCGUGUGUGUGUGUGUGUGUGUGAUAGAUAGCUUAUAUUAUAAGUUAAGACAGGAUAUUGUACUGAUUCACAUGAGGAAAGUGACCAGUAAUAGCAAAUAUAAAUGUGGAAGCUUUUAAAAAAGUUUGGAUGUUUCGUUUUUAAUCAUACUUAUUUGGCUAAUUGGAUUUAAAUUAAAUUUUGCAUAUUAGUAGAUUAACAAACAGUUUUAUAUACUAAUUAUCUAUCUUCCAUAGCUUUGUCUGUGUUAAUCUUUGUAUAUGUAAAUUUUUACAGACACUAUACCAACUAGGGCAAGAACGAAGCAACAAAGACUUAAUAGGUCUUUAGAAGUUGCUGAAAAGCUAAAUGAAAAUUUAAAAGAAAAAAAAAAUUUAAAAAGAAUUUUAUCAUCAAUACAUUCAACUGAUGAAAGUACAGUUAGAAGCUUUAUUUAAUAAAAACAGAAGCAAUAAGUGUAAGAAAUUCAUCUCGGAUUUAGUUAAAAUUAAAUAGCAAAAUCAAUGGCAAGUUGUGUUGUCAAUUAUUGUGUUGUUGUGAAACAAAAUUGUUGGUAUAUAUGGAGUCAUAUCUAUGUUUAUCUGUGUAACCUGUAAUAGUGUACAUUAGUGAUUUAAUUGUAAAUUGUUAUACAAAUAUCAAAAUAAUUAUAUACAGGUAAAAUAAGUACCAAUUGAUUUUGAUAAUAUUUUUUUUUAUUUAUUCAUUAGUACAAAUAUGUGUACAUGGCGGACUUAAUGCUAAAAGCAUUCUCUCCCAGUCAACCAUAGGGAAGUGUCAGAAUACUCGAAUGCGGUACUACUAGUUAUUGAUAUACAUACAUACUAAAAUUACAUACAUAAACGAAUAAAUAUAUAUGAAUAACAAAUAUACUUACACAUAUAUGACAUAUACUAUAUUAUACACGAAUUUGGGAAUAAUAUAAAGCACUUACUGCUCGGAUAAAGAUAAAAAGUGAGUGUAAACGCUUUUUUUGAAAGACGGUUUAGUCAGUAGUCUCUUAAUGGCAUCUGGAAGCGCGUUCCAGAGUCGUGAAGAAUGUAGGAGAAAAGAGUUUGAAGCGUAACCAGUACGGUGAGAGGGGAGAAUGCUCAUAUAAUAAAACUAAAUUGAUCUAUAUUUGUAACUAGUUGUCUGUCCCAGCUUUACAUGGAUAGAUAAGUUUCGAAAAUAGUCUGUGGUCUACACAGUACACAGACUAUAUUUGUUACAUAGGCAUAAUGCGGAAUUCUACUCGUAAUGAUAAAAGAAUUCUUGAAAUUAGUUCAGUAGUUUUUGACUUUAUUUGUUACCAUAAUACAAAAAUACAAAUCAUUAUAAUAUUAGUAUAGAUAAAAAGUCAUUAGUUCAAUUUAUCUAAUAUAUAAAAUUCUCGUGUCACGAUGUUUGUUACCAAACUCCUCCGAAACGGCAUAACCGAUUUUUAUGAAAUUCUGUGUGCAUAUUGAGUAGCUCUGAGAGUCGGCCAACAUCUAUUCUUCAUACCUCUCAAUGAAAAGGGUAACCCACCCCUAAAUUUCUUUUUUACUUUAUUAACAAAAAUUUUUAUUUUUAUUUUAUUAUGAUUUAGCAAAUUAAAAU